UUGCUUCAGCAGCACAUAUAUUAAAAUUAGAACAAUACAGAGAAGAUUAGCAUGGCCCUUGCACAGGAAUGACACACACAUUCUCGAAGCAUUCUAUAUUUUA
rnacentral:snRNA from 1 species